UCAUUUCGUAAGAGCAAAUUACGCUAGUUUUCGGUAAAAAGUGGCCAUUAACCCCGCCCCCUCAAGGUAUUCCGCAUCCUACAGCCACAGCAAUAAACCACGGGACGCGACAACAACAAAAAAAGGUCCUGCGGGACGUGAUUAUUACUCUAAGGUUCCCCCGAAGCCGCCCUCCAAAAGAAAUAGAAACACCAUGCGAACAAUACGCGAUUUGCCAACCGAAUUCCAUUGCCGUAGGUAAGCAACACAGGAAACCCACAAAUGCGGUCAAGGCUUGUCUUGCUCUUGAACCAACAAGUGAAGAGAAUAGCACGGGAGGACGUCCUUGCCCGAACAAGGAUCCAA
rnacentral:misc_RNA from 1 species